rnacentral:rRNA from 1 species
UACGUAGGGUGCAAGCGUUUAAUCGGAAUUACUGGGCGUAAAGCGUGCGCAGGCGGUGAUGUAAGACAGAUGUGAAAUCCCCGGGCUCAACCUGGGAACUGCAUUUGUGACUGCAUCGCUGGAGUACGGCAGAGGGGGGAUGGAAUUCCGCGUGUAGCAGUGAAAUGCGUAGAUAUGCGGAGGAACACCGAUGGCGAAGGCAAUCCCCUGGGCCUGUACUGACGCUCAUGCACGAAAGCGUGGGGAGCAAACAGG